GCUGCACAUGAACAACUCGGCGCUGCCGUCGUUCGCGACGACGUACGACGACGCCUACAGCGGCGGUGUGCUGUUCGACACUGCGGAGCUGUAC